rnacentral:tRNA from 1 species
GCCUCUUUAGCUCAGUGGUAGAGCGUUGGUCUCGUACGAAGCUCAAGAUAACCAAAGGCCGGGAGUUCAAUCCUCCCAGGAGGCA